ensembl:lncRNA
GAAAGAUGUGACAAGCUUUGUUUUUGCAGGUGAUUCCAUAAUGUUUUCUAGGAAUCCAUUUUGUGUUUCGAGGUGGCUGCAGACAAGAAGCAAGAUUGAAGAUGAUCACUGUGAGAUUCAAAUGCCACCAAAAUUUAUUUUGUCCUUUUUUUUUUUUAAGAGCAGACCUGAAUGCCUUCAAACAGUUCAGGAGCACAUCUGAAAUGCUUAUAGUUUUGUUUAGUUCCCAGAAGUAUGACAUCACCAGCAUUGAUGGGACUUGCUGGAAUGCAUCCCAGGAUGGAGAGCUGGCAUGGAGGCAGCAGGCAUGGCAGGCUGGGCAGCAGCUCUUCAGCAUCUUCACCGAUGGUGUUUCUAGAGCAGGCACCGUGGAAGGAACAGCCUGGGGAAGGACUGAAAGAAUUAUCUGGCUCCCAGAAGUGGUGGACUGUUGAAAAAAAUCAUCUGAAGUUGUUUACAAUUAGAAUACUGGUGAAAAAUACAUCUUUUCAAUAUCUUUUUUCAAGCACUAGCUUCGUCUUGAUAUAUUUUAAUUGAAAAAAAGAUUUAUGCAAAAGUCAUGAUAUUCUCUCUGGAAAAAGAUAUCUGACUAUAAACACUGCUGUCAGGCUGCUUGCCUACUUAAAAAACCUGCUGAAGUAGGGCAAUGAUAAUGAAAAGUAGCCAAGUACAGCUUGUGCGGAUCAAGAUUAUAUAAACUCUUAUUUUAUUUUGUUAAUUUUUUCACAGAAUUGUAGAUUCUAGAAAAAGAUGGCUACAUAAGUACAAAGAAAAAGAAAACACAGAAGAACAAACAAGGGAUUUUGAAUAUGCACAUUUAUUGUGAGAACAGCUAAGUUGUACAAAACAAUAGAAUGGAGAGAAGUCAGGUAAAUGCUAAUAAUUUUAUGGGCUUUUUUUUUUAUGACCCAGAAGUGCUCUGAGGAACAUUAAAUUGGUUGAGACUGAUGAUUGGUUUUUUAAUGACAUUUCACAAAAUAUAAAAAGAUUAAUCAUGUUGGUUUUUACAACUAAAAUAACUAAGCACAAACUGUUUUAAAAAAAUUACUGAAGUGUGAUGUCUGGAUUUAAAAAUCAAGCUAUGUACUAAAAAUAUGGAAAAAAAUAGAAAGGAAAGAAAGUGAUAUUAUUUGCUCUAUUAAAAUUGAAAAAUGAAAGGAAGAGAAUUAAAAAACUGGAAUGAUGGAAAAUAGAAACAACAAGGCAAGUUAAAUGUUGUUGUUCCUUGAUCCAGAAAUGUCUCCAUCUUUACGGGUUAAAUUUGAUUUGUGAUACUGAAGCAGUGCAGUCUUGUAUAAUUUUUUUUUUCUCCACCGUUAUCUGAUGAUGUCUAUUUAUCAGAUUUCCAUUGUGCUUUAUUUUUUCUGUCAUACUUUCCUUUUUGAUUUCUGCUUGUGGUCUCUUUACAUACAGGAAUAUGAUUUUAUACAUAUUUCUAGAUAUGUUAUAUGUAUUUCUGUAAAUAUUUUCUAAAUGCACAAUAUUUCUAUACAUACUCCAUAUACCAACCACAUAUAUUUUCCAUAUACAAUUUCUAUUUGUAGAUGUUCACAUAAUAUUAUAUAUGGAAAUUAAAUGUAAUUGUAUAUAUACAUAUGAUUCUCCUGUAUAUGUUACAUACACAAAUAUUUCGGCUGUAAUUUGUAGUCAAUUAAUCAUUGAUAUUUUACCUUAAUCUGGCACUCUUGUCCAUGUUCUGGGAUCUUUCCUGGCUCACCAUUUCCAAUGAGUUACAAUGAAACUGGUAUUUAGCUAGAAUGUUGUAGCAUUUUCUUAGCCAAAUAGACAUUUUUUUGGUGAUGUUUCUGUAGAUAUUGAGUAUAUAAUGGUUGUUAUAGACAGAUUAAAAUUUGUCAUGUGCAUUUGCACAACUGUGAUUUAUUUGCUUCUCUCUGUUAGUUGUAACUCCUUGGUCAAGAGGUGGGAAAUAUGUUUCAUUCAAAAACUGCUAAGUAAUUUCUUAGUUUAAUUCUGGACAGGAGAGUGCUGAAUUGACACAGGUGUUUUAAAAAUGCCUGUAUUUCUUAUGCAGUAACAUUCUUUUUUUGUUACUCUACAAAUUUAGUGAUCCCUUGGAGGUAUUUGAGAACAAUGAGGUUUCCAGGCUAGAAAACAGCGUUAACUCGGAAGUGACAGAUCAAUUAUUUAUUUAUGGACUAAUUGGAGGCAGAAGCCAGGGCCCUGCUGUGGAAGGGCAGCGUGAAGACAAGCAGGCACUAAUGGCCUUUGCCACCUGCCCUGCAGGGUGCAUUCUGUAGCUGGCAAUCAGCUCUCCACGUGGACUUGUCCAAAUUAAGUCACCCUACUCAGUUUCAUCUGGUGGUUUCAGAAAACCUGCUGUGAGCUUCUCUUCUUGAAUGACAGAAAUAAAAACUGGGCUCAGAGCA